rnacentral:rRNA from 1 species
UACGAAGGGGGCUAGCGUUGUUCGGAAUUACUGGGCGUAAAGCGCACGUAGGCGGAUACUUAAGUUAGGGGUGAAAUCCCAGAGCUCAACUCUGGAACUGCCUUUAAUACUGGGUAUCUCGAGUCCGGAAGAGGUGAGUGGAAUUCCGAGUGUAGAGGUGAAAUUCGUAGAUAUUCGGAAGAACACCAGUGGCGAAGGCGACUUACUGGACACAUAUUGACGCUGAGGUGCGAAAGCGUGGGGAGCAAACAGG